rnacentral:piRNA from 1 species
UACGUCCAGUUGGAGAUGUUUAAUGAAGCC